AAGCAGGUCACUGAAGUAAUCCCAGAGAGCGCAGAGAGGUGGCAACUGAGGACAACCAGCAGUGGCAGUGGAGAUGGAGAAAUACCAAAUAUACUUGAAAGGUUCUCUCCUACACUACCUACACCACAGGGAUUCAGCCAUGAAAAACAACAACUAACACCCUACGCCCGUGGAGCUUUCAGCUAGUGGGAGAGCUAGUCAAGUUUAUGUCUUACAUCUGCUAUUGAACAGUAAGCAGUAGGUGAUUUGAAAGGAGGACCUCUGUCUUAUUUAUUUUUAUGUUCUCUACAAUACCUGGCUGGGCAAUUGGGACAUAGAAGAAGCUGAUGAAUGUUUGUUAUUCACUAUAAUCAAGAGGUAAAAAUCUGGUGGAUAGAGAUAGCAAACAGGAUCGGCACAUGCAAAGCGAGGAGGAGCAAGUGAGAAGUUCGGUGAUUGCCUGGGAAGGAGAAAAGGCGCUUUGAAGAAGAGAAGAUGCUUGAGUUCCAACCUGUAGACCCUCCCAGACAGCAAAUCAUGAAGCUGCUUAGAAAAGAAAACUGAAAGUUAAGAAUGGAGAAGAAAUCACUGAGUUUGGUUCAAAACAUUCCAGCUCUUAACGACAAUGUGUGACAACAUCCCAGAAACAUGACACAGUGGGUAAAGGUGACUUGGAGUGAGGACAAACCAGCAUCUACAUUCUGACUCUGACAUCCAGCCUGUUGUACCUUGGACAGGCAAGAUAACCUCUCUGAUCCUCAGUUUCUACUGGUGUAAAAUGGUGAAUAUAAUACCAACUUUGAAAGACUGUAAUGAGGAGUAAAGAAAAUAAUGUAGAAAAUUAUCUGGCACAGUACCUUGGACAUAGUAGGUAUUUAAUAAAACUUUCAUACGGUCAUAAUCAAUUAAAAAGUAAAAGCAAAUAGCUAUUUAUUUUUUCUUUUUCUGUCUGACAAUGAUAAGUUUGAUGUAUUUUCAGUCAGCAGGGGCAAUUGUUCAGUUGAUUGAAAUGAUCGAAUUCAUCCGUUGCUUUGGCAUCAUUCUGACCCGGC
rnacentral:lncRNA from 1 species